rnacentral:tRNA from 1 species
CUAGAAUGGCAGACCAUUGCAUAGGAUUUAAGCUCCUAAUAGGAAAUCACUUAUUGUUUCUUCUAGAAA